rnacentral:lncRNA from 1 species
UCAGGGCUGGAAGGCCCCGCGCCGGGACGGGCAGGUGUGCGAUUUGGAACUGGAAGGAAUCGCUCUGUCCGAGUCCGGCCGGGUACCCGGAGGGGAAGGACGGACUACGGUUCCCGUCGCCCCGCGCGCCGGACGACCCCGGGCGAGUCCUUCGCGGCAGCGGCCGCUCCUUCGUGCCGGACCGUCCUCCUUCCAGGCAGCCGCCCGCGCCUGCUGCGGUCGGUCGGUCUCUCUGCCAGGCCCUCCCCGCGGCCCGCAGCCCUGGCUGGGGCGCCGCCGGUGACCCCAAUCACGGGCGGUAGCAGGCCGCUCCCAAACCCCAAGUCUUUACCUCUUGAGAGGUGGAAACAAUAAAUCUCCUCCCCCGGCCGCAAUUCCUGGGUAAAUUCGGGCCCCGAUCCUCGGCUCGGACCGAAGCUCUUCGCCUUGGCCCCCGCCGGCAGAACCCCGCUCUUAGCGAUCCCAGCUCGCUGCCCUGGCAGCCUGGCUCAGAAACGUGCCGCGGCUUCCCAGCGUCUGGUUAUAAAGCCCAAACUCUUAGCAUACGGUACAAGCACUGUAUGUGCUACCUAGACGCCCAGACUUGACCAGUUUCUUCCAAAAUGUUGAGUAUGGACACCGCACCUGGAAACAACCCUUCCCAGAGAGCGGUCUGGUUCCUCCGCAAAUACCGCACCCCUGCCCUUUCCUGCACCGUCUGUGGCUGCCGCUUGCUGUGGAGUAAGGGACCGGGGAUCCAGACCGGACAGCCAGAUUUCCUGUCGUUGACCCCUAAGGCGGCCCAGUACCCGAUGGACCCAUUUGCCCCGGAGCGGAAAACAAGACCGGGGUUUCCAGGGAAAGCAGCCAUACCUGUUUCAUCAUUGUCAUGGAAACAAGCAAGCAAAUGUCUACAUUGCAGGAAGUGGUGAACAGUGAAUUUGGAACCACACACCUGCCAUUAAAUUCUCGAAUUUGACCAGUGACCUGCUCAUUGUUCAAGUUCUCAGAAAACUGAACAGCUCGGUUUGGCACCUAGUCUGUGAAACCAGUGGCUCUUGAGGCAAAUCUAAGCCUGGCCUGUACCUCCCGACUUGCUGCUCACCUCUACGGGAACUCCCAGAGGAAGCCCAGGGGCGGGGGAAGACGAGACCACGCAUCCAUCCAAUGUCACCGCGGCUCUUCUGUGUGUCGCCUGACAAUACUACGGAUGCACUACUGGCACACAGACAAAGGGGGAAACCCUCAUACUAUUUAUUGAACUUAUUCACUCGGGUAGAAAGUUCCAAUUUUACAAGAGCUGCUUUCCAGCCUUUGGACUAAAUUUUGGACGCGUUGAACCAGUUAAUUGGAGUCAUUCAGAAAUUAUCAUAAUUUGCUCCAUUUCCUCUCAAAAUGUCCCCUUUUCAUCGAACCAGUUCCGUGUUUUGUUGGAGCUCUCAGCAGCCAAGCUAUUGAAUGCAUGUGUGCUGUCUCUCUAGUUCAAGUACUUGGUUCUGAG